GAUGAACGCUGGCGGCGUGCCUAAUACAUGCAAGUCGAGCGAACAGACGAGGAGCUUGCUCCUCUGACGUUAGCGGCGGACGGGUGAGUAACACGUGGAUAACCUACCUAUAAGACUGGGAUAACUUCGGGAAACCGGAGCUAAUACCGGAUAAUAUAUUGAACCGCAUGGUUCAAUAGUGAAAGACGGUUUUGCUGUCACUUAUGGAUGGAUCCGCGCCGCAUUAGCUAGUUGGUAAGGUAACGGCUUACCAAGGCGACGAUGCGUAGCCGACCUGAGAGGGUGAUCGGCCACACUGGAACUGAGACACGGUCCAGACUCCUACGGGAGGCAGCAGUAGGGAAUCUUCCGCAAUGGGCGAAAGCCUGACGGAGCAACGCCGCGUGAGUGAUGAAGGUCUUCGGAUCGUAAAACUCUGUUAUUAGGGAAGAACAAAUGUGUAAGUAACUAUGCACGUCUUGACGAUACCUAAUCAGAAACCCACGGCUAACUACGUG
rnacentral:rRNA from 1 species